CGAGCGACAGAGGAGAGAGCGACGAGCGACAGAUGAGAGAGCGACGAGUGACAGAGGAGAGAGCGACGAGUGACAGAGGAGAGAGCGACAGAGGAAAGAGGAGACAGCGACGGAGGAGAGAACGGAGUGUGAUUGAACGGAGAGAAAAGUGACGAUGAGAACGGUUGAGUGUUACACGAAGGACGGAAGAAGAAGAAGGCGCCGAAAAAUUGUUUUCCCUGUUGUCACGUUAUUUUUAAAAUUACAUGUUAGUAUUGCUAUCGAUCGGAGAGACUAACGGGUGACGAUCUGGAAGUCGAACUGAGUUCAUUGUUUGUGACAUUUUGUACGUGAUUGAUUUUUCAAAUGGUUGCAGUAUUUUUUGCAUUUUUUUAAGUCUUAGUACUGUUCCGUUUCGUUUUUUCUUUGCCAUAGAGAUGCAUUUAUUAGUUAUUAUUGUAUGGAUUUUGUGUGAUAGGGAUUUAAGCGUGAUUGAAUUAUUGUUUUGUGCUGUUGAUGCGUGAAUUUUGUUCGUAUAGAUUUAUUUGUUGUGGAUAUUGUUGACGAUUGCUUUGUUUUGUCCUGACUACUCGGCACGUGCACGUGUGAGAUAUUUCCUGACGAGUAAUUUUUUGCUGAUGUGAGUUAUUUGAUAUGUUUUGUAUGUUUUUGAAUGAAUUUUGUCGUUGUGUUGCCGCAGUCGGGGACGACUGCGAGUUAAAGAGGGGGGUGUCGCGUGGUCAAUGACCACGCUAUGUGAUACGUCUGGUAUGUAGUCCAACCGGACGUACUGUAUGACUGUGCCGGCCUAGCCGGGUAUAUAAGCGUAGAGCAUCGGGCUGUCCGGGGGUGUCUAACAGUGACUGUACUAGAAUGUAGUAUUAGCAAUACACUCCUUAUCCUUGUAUGUUACACUACUAUUUUUAACCAAAUCAGCACAAAGAAUUCAUGAAAUCAAUGGCAAAAGUUUAAUUAGUGGACCAUUCUUUGGUGUGUAUUGGUAGCCUAUGUGCUGCUGACAGCGUCAUUUUCCAUUCCAUUUACGGGCUGUUUUGAUUGCUUAAAAUUACAAAGUAAUUAAUAAGAUGGUAUUUUAAAUAUCUGUAGCUGUCGCGCAAACGGGUGAACUAGAGUUGCGCCAGAUGGCUGCCUUUGUUUUGUUUUGAAAAGCAGACGAAUUGUUAUGCCACUUACACGAAACAUUGGUUUUCUUUCACCAAAAGUUUUUUCGUUUCAGCUUUGAUUUAUUACGAUUCGUGUUUUUGCUAUGGAAGAUAAGCAACGUAAAAACGACGUUAAGAAUGCGAUUCGCCAGAAUGGACAUGCGGGGCACAAACCUCGUAUCAAGGAAGUUCGGGAAUCCAACGACAGUUCAGAAGAAGACGGGAGCAAACGAGUAAAAAAGGCUAGAUUUCCCAAAAGAGUAAAGAGGGGUAUCCCUCAGUAGUAUUCUUCAACAACUGUCAACAAAUUGGUUCCAACAGACAAUUUAAAAAAAAAAACAGCAAGAAAACAUUGACAGGCAAGCUAUAAUGCUGCAUGAGCAAAUGAAAGGUUCACAACAUGCUCAAGAGGAGCCUCAUGCUGAUAGUGAUCUACUCGUCAAAAGUUUUGAUACCAGUCAAAAGGAAAAUGGAGGCUCCAGUGGCUUACGGGAAGAAAUAAAUAUGAUCAGUAAUCAUGCAUCAGAUCUGCUAAGCACGGCCUUAGAGGAAGAAACAAGAAGCUCAGAAAAUAUUCCUGUUAAUCACAAUUGGACGGAACGAAUGAAAAAUGUUCACCAACCUUGGGAUAGGAAUCGACAAAUAUUUUGGGAUUCACGACUCGAAAUAGAAUGUCAAGAAUUUAACGUGUGUGCUUCUUGUUUUAACGAGCUCCAUCACUAUGUAAUUUGUUGCUCAAAUUGCAAGAGAGAUUUAUGUGCUCUUUGCGAUUCAAAAGUGCACGAGCAUUCACCAUUCCAUAGCAGGACACUAUACAAAGAAGAAGACUUGUCCGCAACCAAACUUCUUCCACGUCAUGUCUUUAAUCACACAACACAAAUGAUUGAAAGCAGGGUCGUUCCGGUUCCAUGCUACCUCCCACUAUCUUGCCCAAAAUGUUCCAUGACCGGAACUCUAAACUUGCAAGGCGUAAAGAGAAAAUUGUAAUUACAAAAGACGGUCGUUUUGAUUUGAAUUCCCCAUUAGUUUCUUGCUCUUCUGAUAGUUGUAGCUAUGGUGCAGAGCUGACUUAAAAAGACUAUAUUCAGUCAAACUGGUGGCCCGGAAUUCCGUCCUGUUCCACAUAUCUAUUCUCUGGAGAUCUUCUGCAAUUCUGGUUUCAUCUGAAACAUCAAAACUUGGGGUCAUCGGAGCGAAAGUUUAUUGAAACACUGAAUCGAAUUUCAAAAGCUUCUGAUAGGGUUUAUGUCAUCAACAGAACUCUCUUCAACAAAGCAAGUUGGGAAUACGAUUAUUUUGUAUACGGUUUUUUUUACACCGAUAUUAGGCAACAAAAUAAAACCAGUUGUCGGGCUUGUGGCGAUAAUCCUAGUGCUGCUUGUGUUGACGGAAAUUUCAAACUCCCUCGUCUUGAAUCAGCAAGCAAAGGAUACGAUGAGUCUUUGUUAAAAAUGCAGUGAUCGCAAAAGACGAACAGGUUAAUUCUCACAUCAAACAAAUUGAUGAAGACAUCGUUCCGGAGCGUCAGAAAAAUCCUUGCGGUGGCAAUGUUUUUAAAGCAGCUAAAGAUAGCUCGGCGAACAAAAAGCACCUUGACGAGACGGGUCUUAUUAUGGCUUGUUGUCGUCAUCUCAUUAUUUUGCAAGCGGUCAAUAUUUUUGUAGGCGAAACGUAUCGUCACGGGCACUAUCUCCAUAACUUCUUGUAUAACCUCGGUUAUAAAAUCUUUUUCUACGGCAUUGUUUGCCUUUACUGGAAAUGGGCAAAAAAAGUAGGAGCUAAAAUGUUUGAAAAUCGGAAAAGAGACCCAAAGAAAAAUGCGAUAAAUUUCCGCUUUUUAACAGAAAAAAUGACCCCCUUCUUGGCUCGUUUUCACGCCAUUGCGCAUGUGUGGCACUGCUACAUACUAUGGGUUGGUCAUUGGAUUGAUGGUGUCGGGGCUACUGUUAGAGACGAAUAAGAACAGGUCAAUGCAUCUAUGUCAUUAUAUGGUAACCGGACAAAACACAUGACGCCAGGAAACAGAACCGAUACUUUAUCUGCUGGUAUGAUGUAUCUCAAUUUAGAGAGGUUCGAUCGAAUGCCAAAAUUUCUCGCCAGCCGAUUAAUUAAAUCCCGUAUUUUAGCUGAGGCCUUUUCAAUGGAACUGAAGGAGUUGCUAGAGACCUUUCAACUUUCCGAAACUGAUUUACCAGGAAUUAAAGUUCGACUUAAGAAAAAAGCUGCAAGCAGUGCAAGGAAAAACGACGACGGACCCGGGCCGCCUUGUUAUCUCAUGAACGAUUUGGAGGCCCAAUAUUCCGAAAUGCAUAUUUUGAAAAAGAGGAGAGAAAAAACUGCAACCACAGCAAAAGAAAGAUCAAAGAUGAACCGUUUCAUUGGUGUCACUUAGAAAAAGGCAAUAAGUUUAAUAGAAAAAAUAAAUGAAUGACAUCACGACCAGCAGCCCCAUCCAGAAAAUGAAAUUGUUAAUGAUCUAAUAAUUUUGGAGGAUUUUUGCAAAGGACUUUUCCCCUGGCAACUACCCGAUCAAAAGAAUUUCAGACGAUCACAGAAAUAAAAUGAAUCUAAUCGAAACAUGGAUGCUUUCUUUGCGACACAAAGAGGAAAUACAUCUAGUAGAGAAGGAUAUAAUAACAUAUGACAUAUCGAUUCGUAAAAAAAUCUGUGUUCUGGAAAAAGAGAGAAGGAAACUUCAAAGCGGAUUAAAUAGACAAAAAAUGAAAAUAAAAACAGAAAAAGGGAAUUCUCGGUGCAUGAUGGCGAGAUCAUUUUUAAUAUACGAAGAAAUCAAAAGGCUCAAUGGACUUUUGCUGAGAUAUGAUAUAGAAUCAUCCGAAGAUGAAACAAGUGAAGAUUCUUCUGAUUACGAAUAGAACAACGUAUUCUUCUCUUUUUUUUGCAACUGUUUGCAGUUCAGUUAAUGCAAAACCCCUUAAAAACUCUGCAUUACACAUUGUGUAACCUAUCAUAUUUAAAAGCCAAAAUAUUAGAAAUUAAUGGUUAUUUUUUGGGAAUAGAUAACUGAAUAAUGGGAAGCUAUAUGAGGGUCAGAUAAAAUAAAAAUUUCAGGGUCGCGACAAAACAGCCCGUCGACAAAACCAAAUGUCGACAAAACAGUCUCUUGACGAAAGAGCCUGUACAAAAUCGCAAUGAGGUAACCGUUUUUCAU
rnacentral:lncRNA from 1 species